AAAGAAGAGUAUUACCUUCUUAACCACUGAAUUUUAGGUCAUUUGUUGUGCAGCAAUCCAUAAAUGGAACAAGUAAAUGAGCUUGUUAAGUAAUAAGGAAAAACAAAAACAAAAUGCAGCAAGAAAGAUGGAUCACAAAAAUGUGAGAUAAGCCAAAGGUGACCAUUUCUCCAAGUUGCAAAGAUUGAAUCCUGGAUUGGCGUCCAUCAAAUGCAGGAACGCAUUGCUCGUGGCUCAGUUGCUGUGGGCUGGGAGUCUCAGAAGCUCUCCUAAGCAGCUGCCUGCCUACUUUUGGCUGGAGGUGAGUUUCCAUCUCUCUCUGGCCCCGCCUCAGCUGGUGCCAAACAUGUUCCUGAUUGCCUCGGAAGAACUGCCUUUGAAAUUUAACAUUGGCAUUGGGAUAGGUGAGUGUCCUUUGUGAGCCCAGAUAGCAGAAUCUGCUCCUCUCGCUUUGGGAAUAUUUUAAAGGAAUUUCCAUUCAUACGUAGAACAAGUUCUACUGAUUGAGAGAGAGAAGCAACUGACUGUUUCUUUCAGUAUAGACACUCUUGGGGACUUGUUUGUAAUUGUGUGUUGUAUCUAUACAAGUUAGUGUCUUCUGUGGGUACCAAACAGUAGGAUCAGCUUCCCUCAAUUUGGGAAAUUUCUAUGGAAUUUAUUGUUUGCAGGUUGAUCAAGCCCAACCAACAGAGAGAGCAUCUCAACCAUUUCAGUUUGGACAUUUGUAUUUGUUGCUGCAAAAGUUGGAUUGUCUUCUGGUGAUUGUGUGUGUUUUAUAUAGUCAUGAGAAAUUAGAAUUUGGUAAAGUGAUAUUCUUUUGCAAUACUGUUUGGCCCCGAUAUUGUUUGGAAUUCUGGAGUUUGCUAUUGAAUGGGAAAGACAGAUGGAGUUGCAUAUAUCCAGGCUUUUGUGCUGCUGUUCUAAGCAGGGUUAGGCCUGCUUACUAUGCGAUGUUUUCCUUUGGUGUUGUUAGGCCCCUGUGUUCUUUUGAGUCUGGGGAGGUUUGGCCUUUAAAAAUCAAACUUGAAACUGCUUUACCCAAAAUUUUGGUUCACAGCCUUAACUGGAUUACCUAUUGGGGCAAACAAAGUAAAACUGGUAAGCUCGUAUUGCUAUCUCAUGGCUAGAGUUCCAAGCUAAAAGCUAUUGGAACUUUGUGAGUGUGUAUACAUGUCUAGAUGUGUUUAUUUGUAUGUACAAAUAUUGUUAUAUGUUGUGCCUACAAAACUGGCUUCUAAGUAAAAGAGUGCUCAUAAACUAAGUAAAUAAGUCCAACCAAUUUUCAAAGUCAUGUGACUUAAGUAAAUCUUUACUAAACAAGCUGGCUUUAAAAUUAUUGGUAAAAUGAAAAUAGAGAAAUGACUUCAGAAUUGUCAGUAUAUAUUUUGUCUGGGUUUUAUAUUUGUCUUUCCUAGAUAUUUGAGAUGUCAGUGCUUGUCAUAGACAUUUAUAAGGCUAUUGAUCCAGCCAAAACAAAAUGAUCUUGGUUUGUGUGACUUAUUUGACAAAUGAGAAUAAUUUAAUGUUGUUAGCUGAAUUUUCUGAGUUACUGGUCAAAAUACCUAUGUACUUAACUUUGAGGCACUUACUUAGGUGAGCACCUGAU
ensembl:lncRNA novel transcript